GAUGAACGCUGGCGGCGUGCCUAACACAUGCAAGCCGAGCGAUUCUCUUCGGAGAAGAGCGGCGGACGGGUGAGUAACGCGUGGGUAACCUGCCCUGUACACACGGAUAACAUACCGAAAGGUAUGCUAAUACGAGAUAAUAUGCUUUUAUCGCAUGGUAGAAGUAUCAAAGCUCCGGCGGUACAGGAUGGACCCGCGUCUGAUUAGCUAGUUGGUAAGGUAACGGCUUACCAAGGCGACGAUCAGUAGCCGACCUGAGAGGGUGAUCGGCCACAUUGGAACUGAGACACGGUCCAAACUCCUACGGGAGGCAGCAGUGGGGAAUAUUGCACAAUGGGCGAAAGCCUGAUGCAGCAACGCCGCGUGAGCGAUGAAGGCCUCGGUCG
rnacentral:rRNA from 1 species